GACGAACGCUGGCGGCGUGCUUAACACAUGCAAGUCGAACGGAAAGGCCCUGCUUUUGUGGGGUGCUCGAGUGGCGAACGGGUGAGUAACACGUGAGUAACCUGCCCUUGACUUUGGGAUAACUUCAGGAAACUGGGGCUAAUACCGGAUAGGAGCUCCUGCUGCAUGUUGGGGGUUGGAAAGUUUCGGCGGUUGGGGAUGGACUCGCGGCUUAUCAGCUUGUUGGUGGGGUAGUGGCUUACCAAGGCUUUGACGGGUAGCCGGCCUGAGAGGGUGACCGGCCACAAUGGGACUGAGAUACGGCCCAGACUCCUACGGGAGGCAGCAGUGGGGAAUAUUGCACAAUGGGCGGAAGCCUGAUGCAGCAACGCCGCGUGCGGGAUGACGGCCUUCGGGUUGUAAACCGCUGUCGCCUGUGACGAAGCGUGAGUGACGGUAAUGGGUAAAGAAGCACCGGCUAACUACGUG
rnacentral:rRNA from 1 species